rnacentral:piRNA from 1 species
UUGCUUUUGCGUCAAUUGGGGUAC